GUGUCAGCCGCCGCGGUAAUACGUAGGGGGCGAGCGUUGUCCGGAUUCAUUGGGCGUAAAGAGCUCGUAGGCGGCUUGGCAAGUCGGGUGUGAAACCUCCAGGCUUAACCUGGAGACGCCACUCGAUACUGCCAUGGCUAGAGUCCGGUAGGGGACCACGGAAUUCCUGGUGUAGCGGUGAAAUGCGCAGAUAUCAGGAGGAACACCGGUGGCGAAGGCGGUGGUCUGGGCCGGCACUGACGCUGAGGAGCGAAAGCGUGGGUAGCAAACAGGAUUAGAAACCCCCGUAGUCC
rnacentral:rRNA from 1 species